CCUGACUGCUAUCGGAUUGAUACUAAGCCAUGCGAGUCAUUGUAGCAAUACAAGGCAGACGGCUCAGUAACGCGUAGUCAACCUACCCUAUGGACGGGGAUAACCUCGGGAAACUGAGAAUAAUACCCGAUAGAACAUUAUACCUGGAAUGGUUUAUGUUUCAAAUAAUUUAUUGCCGUAGGAUGGGACUGCGGCCUAUCAGUUUGUUGGUGAGGUAAUGGCCCACCAAGAUUAUUACAGGUACGGGCUCCGAGAGGAGUAGCCCGGAGAUGGGUACUGAGACACGGACCCAGGCCCUAUGGGGCGCAGCAGGCGAGAAAACUUUGCAAUGUGCGAAAGCACGACAAGGUUAAUCCGAGUGGUUUCUGCUAAAGGAACCUUUUGUCAGUCCUAGAAACACUGAUGAAUAAGGGGUGGGCAAGUUCUGGUGUCAGCCGCCGCGGUAAAACCAGCACCUCAAGUGGUCAGGAUGAUUAUUGGGCCUAAAGCAUCCGUAGCCUGCUUUGUUAGUUUUCGGUUAAAUCCAUACGCUUAACGUAUGGGCUGCCGGGAAUACUGCAAAGCUAGGGAGUGGGAGAGGUAGACGGUACUCGGUAGGAAGGGGUAAAA
rnacentral:rRNA from 1 species